rnacentral:rRNA from 1 species
UACGUAGGGUGCGAGCGUUGUCCGGAAUUAUUGGGCGUAAAGAGCUCGUAGGCGGCCUGUCACGUCGGAUGUGAAAACCCGGGGCUCAACCCCGGGCCUGCAUCCGAUACGGGCAGGCUAGAGUGUGGUAGGGGAGAUCGGAAUUCCUGGUGUAGCGGUGAAAUGCGCAGAUAUCAGGAGGAACACCGGUGGCGAAGGCGGAUCUCUGGGCCAUUACUGACGCUGAGGAGCGAAAGCGUGGGGAGCGAACAGGAUUAGAAACCCCAGUAGUCC